rnacentral:rRNA from 1 species
GACGAACGCUGGCGGCGUGCCUAAUACAUGCAAGUAGAACGCUGAAGGAGGAGCUUGCUUCUCUGGAUGAGUUGCGAACGGGUGAGUAACGCGUAGGUAACCUGCCUGGUAGCGGGGGAUAACUAUUGGAAACGAUAGCUAAUACCGCAUAAGAGUAGAUGUUGCAUGACAUUUGCUUAAAAGGUGCAAUUGCAUCACUACCAGAUGGACCUGCGUUGUAUUAGCUAGUUGGUGGGGUAACGGCUCACCAAGGCGACGAUACAUAGCCGACCUGAGAGGGUGAUCGGCCACACUGGGACUGAGACACGGCCCAGACUCCUACGGGAGGCAGCAGUAGGGAAUCUUCGGCAAUGGACGGAAGUCUGACCGAGCAACGCCGCGUGAGUGAAGAAGGUUUUCGGAUCGUAAAGCUCUGUUGUAAGAGAAGAACGAGUGUGAGAGUGGAAAGUUCACACUGUGACGGUAUCUUACCAGAAGGGGACGGCUAACUACGUG